GUUGGAGGUGUAGCUCAAUGGUAGAGUACUUGCCUAGCAUGCAUGAGGUCCUGGGUUUAAUUCCCAGUACCAACA